rnacentral:rRNA from 1 species
UACGUAGGGUGCGAGCGUUGUCCGGAAUUAUUGGGCGUAAAGGGCUCGUAGGCGGUUUGUCGCGUCGGGAGUGAAAACCCAGGGCUUAACCCUGGGCUGGCUUCCGAUACGGGCAGACUAGAGGUAUGCAGGGGAGAACGGAAUUCCUGGUGUAGCGGUGAAAAUGCGCAGAUAUCAGGAGGAACACCGGUGGCGAAGGCGGUUCUCUGGGCAUUACCUGACGCUGAGGAGCGAAAGUGUGGGGAGCGAACAGG